rnacentral:rRNA from 1 species
UACGUAGGUGGCAAGCGUUGUCCGGAUUUACUGGGCGUAAAGGGCGUGCAGGCGGUUUGUUAAGUCUAGGGUGAAAGCUCCCGGCUCAACUGGGAGAGGUCCUUGGAUACUGGCGAACUUGAGGGAUGCAGAGGAAAGUGGAAUUCCCGGUGUAGUGGUGAUAUGCGUAGAUAUCGGGAGGAACACCAGUGGCGAAGGCGGCUUUCUGGGCAUUUCCUGACGCUGAGACGCGAAAGCGUGGGGAUCAAACAGG